AAAUGAUAACUUUCGGAUGAAACGGCAUUCCGACGAGAUAUCUAGCAGAUCAAAGUCCAGGAAUCUUUCUGCCAACCAAAAGUAUUGUUUAAGGGUGAUUUCUCCUCACUUCAUCUAAAUAAUGGCACCUAAAAAAGAGCUUUCUGUUCAGUGCGAUAUCGGAUAACUUGCACCGGUGAUUCAGAUCAAGCGGUAUAAUUUGAGCCAACCCUCCAUUGCCGCUCUAGAUUCGCCACUGGCCGGACGGAAGUAUCAUUAAUCCAUGGCCUAUGACAAUCGUAGCGCGCCAAGCGGUCGUCGGCAGACGCAGUCGUGGAUGGCAGAGAGGAAGGGGAGAGAGCAGGGCUAUCGAUCCACAGGCACCGCAAUUGCAAGUGCUAAUGAUGAAGUUGGACAGCCGGCCAGCCCAAGUUGUCGAUGUUGCCUCCGCAGUGCAGUUGUUCUGAGUGCCACGCCCACAUGAAGAUCCCAAGGUCUGUUAUGCAUAUUCACUGGAUGGGAAGGGCUGUCAAUUUUGCCAGAUUAAUUAGCUAGGGGAUGUAACAAUAGUUCAAUCGAAGACAGUCUAAAUUACGUGUAUGCAAAGCUAAUUGAUUAGGAACUAAGCAUGGCCUUAUUGAACAUAUUUCAAUUUUUUAGCUGGCUAGCUUAUUCGUUAAAAAGCUGGUUAUAAGUUAUGUAGUUGGUCACCAGUUACCUUUUCGUCAUGUCUGGUUGGUGUUGUUUCUCAUUAAAAUGAAACAACCGGGCAUGAUGUAGCAAGAUG